rnacentral:rRNA from 1 species
UUUAAAGGAAUUGACGGGGAGCACCACGAACGGGUGGAGCUUGCGGUUUUAAUUGGAUUCAACGCCGGAAAUCUUACCGGGACCGACAGCAAUAUGAAGGCCAGGCUGAAGACUUUGCCGGAUUAGCUGAGAGGUGGUGCAUGGCCGUCGUCAGUUCGUACUGUGAAGCAUCCUGUUAAGUCAGGCAACGAGCGAGACCCACGCCCACAGUUGCCAGCGUACUCUCUGGAGUGACGGGUACACUGUGGGACCGCCGCUGCUAAAGCGGAGGAAGGAAUGGGCAACGGUAGGUCAGUAUGCCCCGAAUAUCCCGGGCUACACGCGAGCUACAAUGGUUGGUACAAUGGGUAUCUACCCCGAAAGGGGACGGGAAUCUCCUAAAACCAAUCUUAGUUCGGAUUGAGGGCUGCAACUCGCCCUCAUGAAGCUGGAAUCCGUAGUAAUCGCGUUUCAACAGAACGCGGUGAAUACGUCCCUGCUCCUU